UACAGAGGGUGCGAGCGUUUGUCCGGAAUCACUGGGCGUAAAGGGCGCGUAGGUGGUGGCUUAAGCGUGCGGUGAAAGCUCGGGGCUCAACCCCGAGUCGGCCGUGCGAACUGGGCUCACUGGAGCAUAGUAGAGGCAGGUGGAAUUCCGGGUGUAGCGGUGGAAUGCGUAGAGAUCCGGAAGAACACCGGUGGCGAAGGCGGCCUGCUGGGCUAUGGCUGACACUGAGGCGCGACAGCGUGGGGGAGCAAACAGG
rnacentral:rRNA from 1 species